CCUCGCUCGCGCCACCGAAAACCAAACGAGGAAAAAUGCCGUCCCCGUCCCUCCUCCUCCGCGCUCCUCCUCUCUGCCCCUCCCCGUCCCACCCCCCGCGCCGCUUCGCUCCCCCCUCCCUCAUCACCUCGUCUCCGCCUGCCCGCCUCCUCCCUCUGCGCCUGCCCUCCGCCGCGUCCCGCCACACGCCUCGCGCCGGUGACACGCGCGUGCCCGACGACCUCAUCCCGAUCGCGCGCUGCUACGAGGGCCGCCUUGCUCGACUCGAGCUCGCCGGCGCCGCGCGCCGGGAACAGGCCGUCGCGGCAGCGGCCGCGGCCGGCGGAGGGGCUUCGGCGGAGGACCACCUCGCCGCCGGCUCCGACGCCAUGGUCGUCGAGGCAUUCCUCCCCGGGCCCCAUGGCGGUGGGACGACCGCUUCCUCCACGCGAGUGAUUUUGCAAGCCAAGGAAGUUAAAGAUAAGGCCAGUAAGAUAGAGAAACAGUUCGGAUCUGAUUUUUUCUUUGCAAAUCAACCUGAUUCAGAGAGUAUGUUGGCUAUGGCCUUUAAGCAAGUUGUAAUUCAGCGGCUCUCAAACUUUCGGCUCGAGGUCUUCCCCCCAGGUUCAGAGAGAGACUUCCAAGAUUUUGGCAAACCCCGAAAGGGGUCUUUGGAUUGUAGUAUCAGCUCAUCAGAUGGAAAACUUCUGUCUUCUCUUGCUGAGGCCAUUUUCUCCUGUGUCAUUGAGGAUGUCAGAAAAAAUCAUUUUGGGAGCAUAGGCAGUUUUUUUCAGAAGCGACAGCUCAACUGCUCAAUGGAUUCCUCAGUUUGUAUACACAAAACUUCUGAGGCAGAAGUAGUGAAAAAUGCUAAGAGGUGUCUGGAGAUCGUUAGUUUAAUGAAGUCUUCUCAUGAAGUACGUGAAACAAAGAAUGGAUGGUGGCCACCUCCACAUCAUGAAAGUUUGGUGAAGAUUGGGGGUCCUGAGUUAGUGCUUUGGGCCAAUGAGUACAUUCCUACUUAUAAGCUGCAAAUUAAUGCCAACGCAUUGGAGAAUUCUAAUCUUGAAGUUGAAGGUCUUUAUGAGUUAGAAAGUAAUAGGCGGGAAGUUCUCUUAACCCACUCACAACUGGUGGAACUAGGGAACGUUCUAGACAUGUACUUUGAAGAUCAAUUCACAUUACCAGGCAAAACAUUCCAUCCUUAUUGGAAUCCAGAUCUGUCAAAGAUUAAAAAGAACAAUGGUUACUUGAACAACCUUUUCACUUUUUUGGCUGGGACCUGUAUUUUUCUUUUUGUCACCAUCUUUGCUCAGUUAUGCUGGCCUCAAUCCUUUAGAGACAAAAGGCUAUUCAAGGAAAGUUCAAAUGCCUCAUUAUCUCAGAACUAUUGUUCCGAUAUCAAGUCUCUUUAUAACAGUGAGGUACAAGCUUAUUGCAUGUCACUUGUUAAGAAAAUGAAAGACUCGUAUGGCUGCCCUGGUGAUGUAAUGGUUGAUUCUCACAUUGGAGCAUGGGUUGGAGAACUACCUAACUGCUUCAAGGCAAUCAGUAGUGAGGAUGCUGCUGCUUCUGGCUCUUUUCAGUAUCCUGACACUCUUAGCCAAGAAAAUCAAUCCCAGCCAGUGCCAGUUAAUACUAAGAUGUCUCAUUUGGAACAAAAUGAUAGAACCCAGGAAUUUCCUCUGCAGAAUAUUGCUAGUUUUCAGGUGGUCAUGUCAGAAGAAGGUAAAGUAGUGGGAUUUCAGCCAACUAACCUCCCAGCUGUGAACCAUUGGGCAACAAACCCACUAGCAACACUUCUGUAUCAAGGACGGUCACUUUCUCCAGGCAUUAUAGAACCCAGGCUCAAAAUUUCUCGUCCAGCUAAGGCUGCCCCGAUCGAAUUAUUGAUGUCAGUAAAUCAAGAUUCCUUUUUUGCUUUGGCAAGGCCUGUUGAAGACCCAAGGUAGCAGAGCGAGCUUCCUCAGAUUGAUUCUACUGCAAGAUUGUGAACAGUUCCAAAGAUGUGAAACGAAACAAAUAGUGGCAGCUGAGCCUGAACAGGAUUUAACAAGGUGCCUGAGUUAUGAGAAAGAAAUCGACUAAUGGGCCCCAUCAUUUUAAGUAAGAUGCCGGAGGAGUGGUGGUGGCUGACGUGAAGAAGAAAUUCCACUAGUAUCCCGUCGGAGUGCAGGAGGAGCGAUCGGAGGGGCACAACAAACGUGGGAAAUUGGGCACCCGGAGACUAUGACCCAUAAGCCCUCCAGCUCUCUAUGGUUGAACACUUGAACUAUAAAGUCUUAUAUUCAGAAGUAUCUACCGAGUAGGAUCAAACACCAUUCGAGUACUUUCUUGGGAGAAACCAUGACCACUCUUCAAAUCUUCAAGUCUUCUAUAUUUGUCACCAUACUAUGAAGAGUCUGUUGUGCAAUUCUGAUGUUUUUUUCGAAGAACUUUGAACGCAUCGUGAUGAUAUCUAUCCCGUGGCACCUAAGCCUAAAAUUGGCUUACACCAAGCCAAUUAUAGGGUCUCCUAAGUUAAUUAUAGGGUCUUGAACAUCCUUCAAAUUGGCUACCCUGUGUCAGCUACAGGGUCUUACAUCCUUAGUGAUAUUGAUGAGUAAUGAUCGCUUGUUAUUUUUUUUUUUUUUGGUAAAAAUAACCCUUGGCAAUUUCAUA